rnacentral:snRNA from 1 species
GUGCUCACUUUGGCAGCACAUAUACUAAAAUUGGAGCAAUACAGAGAAGAUUAGCAGGGCCCCUGCAUGAGGAUGAUGCACAAACUUGUGAAGCAUUCCAUAGUUUU